rnacentral:piRNA from 1 species
UGCCAUCCUAUUGAAUUAUGGCUUGAAU